rnacentral:rRNA from 1 species
AGAGUUUGAUCCUGGCUCAGGACGAACGCUGGCGGCGUGCUUAACACAUGCAAGUCGAACGGAAAGGCCCUUUCGGGGGUACACGAGUGGCGAACGGGUGAGUAACACGUGGGUAAUCUGCCCUGCACAUCGGGAUAAGCCUGGGAAACUGGGUCUAAUACCGAAUAGGACCACAGGACACAUGUCCUGUGGUGGAAAGCUUUUGCGGUGUGGGAUGGGCCCGCGGCCUAUCAGCUUGUUGGUGGGGUGAUGGCCUACCAAGGCGACGACGGGUAGCCGGCCUGAGAGGGUGUCCGGCCACACUGGGACUGAGAUACGGCCCAGACUCCUACGGGAGGCAGCAGUGGGGAAUAUUGCACAAUGGGCGAAAGCCUGAUGCAGCGACGCCGCGUGGGGGAUGACGGCCUUCGGGUUGUAAACCUCUUUCACCAUCGACGAAGGUCCGGGUUUUCUCGGGCUGACGGUAGGUGGAGAAGAAGCACCGGCCAACUACGUGCCAGCAGCCGCGGUAAUACGUAGGGUGCGAGCGUUGUCCGGAAUUACUGGGCGUAAAGAGCUCGUAGGUGGUUUGUCGCGUUGUUCGUGAAAUCUCACGGCUUAACUGUGAGCGUGCGGGCGAUACGGGCAGACUUGAGUACUGCAGGGGAGACUGGAAUUCCUGGUGUAGCGGUGGAAUGCGCAGAUAUCAGGAGGAACACCGGUGGCGAAGGCGGGUCUCUGGGCAGUAACUGACGCUGAGGAGCGAAAGCGUGGGGAGCGAACAGGAUUAGAUACCCUGGUAGUCC